GAACUAGUUUUGGCAGCACAUAUACUGAAAUUGUAACAAUACAGACAAGAUUAGCAUGGUUCUUAAACAAGGAUGACAUGCAAAUUCCUAUAGUGUUCCUCUUGUUU
ensembl:snRNA U6 U6 spliceosomal RNA